GGUGUGAAAAAUAGAGAGGAGGAUCCUCUCUCUUGCAAUGUGCGCAAAACUUGAAUUUCAGAUUUUUGAUUCUAAGGAUUUGGGAGGAGAAAAUAAAUAAAAAAAAAUUAUUUUUUUCUUCAUCUUUUUUUCACAUAUUCAUAUCCUUUAGAAGUUUAUCUUUAAUUUUUAAAAAUAUUUUAAAGAUUUGAAGAAAGAAUCUAGAUCAAUCAAGAAGAAGAUCUUCACGCGAGUGAAGGUCUUCGCGUGAGCUAGC
rnacentral:lncRNA from 1 species